GCAUAUGACUACUGGCAGGAUCAACCAGGUAGCAUUCCUCAUUCGACAUCAAAAAACGUAUGAACCAAGCUACAAGAGUUCGCUCAACACGUUUAUGAUUGUCAUUCGCAUGAAGCGUGGGACGCUCAGUUUGGGACAAGCAAAGGUGACAAUCACCCUCUUCCCGCUCAAUGUUCCGUACCAAAGAAGCCACGCACUACAUCAUGAGCCAACAAUCCAAAGCUCACCAAAGUGACAUGGAAAGUGAAUCACAAUGUGUGCUACAAAGUCCAUCCAACACUGCAACCCAAAAUGGUGCAAUGCUAGAUGGAUGUUCCAAAAAUUCCAACAAACGAGUGCCUUGAACACAGGAAGACAACACAGGAAACCAAUAAUAAGCAAACUAUGCUCAAUCCAACAAUUGAAGAGGGAUGCACCACAUGUUGUCGCUGCUCAAGCAGGGAUCCAACAUGCAAAUACAAACCAAACACCACUCA
rnacentral:misc_RNA from 1 species